GGAAUUGCUGAAGUUGUGAAGGUUGAUGCUGUGAAUGCGCUCGGUCAUCCCCUUGCAACUGAUGUCACCUGCAGCAUGUCAACGCAGACACAAAACAGGGCAUGGGUCAGAUCUAGCUGGUUGCAUUCCUAACACCUAGGUUUCAGAGUAAAAAUACAGAGUCAGCUUGUGAUGGCAUUCCCUCAAAACAUGGAAGGAAUUGCAGUAAUGAAAGUCAUCAUGUAUUCUAAGAGACUGUUCUGCGAGAGCACAACACAGACGGGGCUAAAGCAGGGAUUGUCUAAGCCCAGUGUGGAGGAACCAUCAAGGAUUUCAGCACGUUUUUUUAGCCAUUGUACAGUUUGUGAAAAUUAAGUUUUACUCUGUGAAUAAAGAAUUGGAUAGAUAAUUCCAGACAACAUUCUGAAAGACACUUACGCCGUCAUUCCAAAGUUGAAAUGAAAUGAGGGGGAGAAGACUUGCUGGGACUAAGGAAAAAAGUCAAUGAAAUCUGAGUGAGAAGCAAAAGUGCUCAGGAGUUAAGAGAAGCAGACGUCCGAAAUUAUCUCCAUGCAUUACCAAAAACCGUGGGCACCACGGCACGGGGAAAACUUACCAGGUACAAUGAGCCAGUGACUGUUACUGAAUUUCUUAAGAUUACACUUUUCCCAACUACUGCAGACUGCUUCAGAAUAGAAGAAGACAACUCUCAUGCCAUCAAGCCGACGGACUUUCAAAAAAAUAAAAGAUGCAUUUCUUUACUUGUAAGUAUUUGUCUUUGCAAAGGGCUCUCUGAUAUGGUAGCACAGAAGUUUGCACAUUCUAAGGAUCUGAUGUUUUGCCCUCUUCGGGUAUCCCGGCUGGAAGGAGCUACGGUGAAAGGGCACCUAAGGUGAAUGGACAGAUUGUAGAUGGGUGCACACAGGAAAAUGUACAGCUCCUACAAUGUAUUCUGAGCUUUACUAAGGGAAUUAAUUAUCUGGAAGAACAGGAACAUACAGGCCCAUGAGAAGUAAAAGCAGGCACUGGCAUUCUGCACAGAUGAAAUACUUCCUACGACAGGAAUACAUGCUCACUUGUGGACUUCUCUGUAAUCUGUAGGCAACAUCAGCUCCUGAUUUCUAGGUCUGGAUCUGGGUUCUCUGUAGCACAGGAAGGUAAGAGUGAUAAGAACUCUUUUCCCUCUUAAAGGAUAUAGAAACUUUUAAACCCAUCUGCAUCAUAGUAAGGCUGUGUUAUCUGUAUCAGCAUAGUUACUCUGUGAUGAAGAAAAACUCAGAAAACUAUCCAGAUGUGGGAAUUUCUCGGGUAUUCCUUGCACUUGAACUUAAGGAUGAAUGAAGGUAUAUACAAGUCUCUACUUCUCCUACAUAAAUGCCUUGCAUGGCGGGAACUAAAUCAACUACACAGACCCAUACAUCCAGAGAGCAGAGGUGAGCUGGAUACAAGUGGCUUAGAGAUGUGGUGGAAGGAGGCCAGAGCUCCAAGGGAAGGGCAGCAAGGAGACAACAGCAUGGGUUGCAGCUCAGACAACAGGUAAAUAAAACCAAGCAAAGCUGCUGGUCACAGAUUUGACCAGGGUGGCAAGAAAUGACAAGCUACCAUGAGAUUCAACAGUGGCACGGAAGGAUGAUGAGAAGCAAACAGAUUAGGAGAAGCUGCCACCACCGUACAUAGAGGCACAGAUGACCAAGCAGAACAGCACCAGUCCCUGCAAGGUGUGCUCAGAUACAGCUCAGCACAGCCAUCUGGCCAGGAGGGAAUGAUAAUGCACAUGGUGUGCACUGCAGCCGGGAAGUUGAGAACCGCUGUGGGCACCUCAGGACUGAGUCUGGUUACCCUGCUGAUCCAAGAAAUGAAGCCAUCUAAAAUUUUGCCUGCUUUCACAAUUUUCUGUGUGUGUGUGUGUGUAUUAAACAAAGUGAACUAAGAAGCC
rnacentral:lncRNA from 1 species